UACAGAGGUCUCAAGCGUUUGUUCGGAUUCAUUGGGGCGUAAAGGGCGCGUAGGCGGUUCGUUAAGUCCUGUGUGAAAUCCCCCGGCUCAACUGGGGAACUGCAUAGGAAACUAGCGGGCUUGAGUUCGGGAGAGGGAAGCGGAAUUCCGGGUGUAGCGGUGAAAUGCGUAGAUAUCGAGAGGAACACCAGUGGCGAAGGCGACUACCUGGCCUGUUCUUGACGCUGAGGCGCGAAAAGCUAGGGGGAGCAAACGGG
rnacentral:rRNA from 1 species